rnacentral:rRNA from 1 species
AUUGAACGCUGGCGGCAGGCCUAACACAUGCAAGUCGAGCGGAUGAAGGGAGCUUGCUCCUGGAUUCAGCGGCAGACGGGUGAGUAAUGCCUAGGAAUCUGCCUGGUAGUGGGGGAUAACGUCCGGAAACGGGCGCUAAUACCGCAUACGUCCUGAGGGAGAAAGUGGGGGAUCUUCGGACCUCACGCUAUCAGAUGAGCCUAGGUCGGAUUAGCUAGUUGGUGGGGUAAAGGCCUACCAAGGCGACGAUCCGUAACUGGCCUGAGAGGAUGAUCAGUCACACUGGAACUGAGACACGGUCCAGACUCCUACGGGAGGCAGCAGUGGGGAAUAUUGGACAAUGGGCGAAAGCCUGAUCCAGCCAUGCCGCGUGUGUGAAGAAGGUCUUCGGAUUGUAAAGCACUUUAAGUUGGGAGGAAGGGCAGUAAGUUAAUACCUUGCUGUUUUGACGUUACCAACAGAAUAAGCACCGGCUAACUUCGUG